UGGUCGAAAAGGUCAUGCUGU
rnacentral:misc_RNA from 1 species